UGUACAUGCAAACAGUAUAUAUAAUGUAUUUAUUACACUGUCUGUGUGGGUGGAGUUAUGAUGUCACAUCGUACAUCUUUGAAGAGAAUGUGUACAAACGUACACAGUCUUCGUUCAGACUCUAGUCUUGACAUUACGAGAGAUGAUAAGAAUUAUUAUAGUGUUUCAGUCACUGUACUGGAUUCAAGGAGUUGCAGGGGUGAAUGAUGUCUCUCAGCCCAGUAUACUCUGGGCUGAAAUGGGCCAAUCAGCCACAAUAAACUGCUCACACACCAAGGGUGCAUUUUACAAUCAAAUGUACUGGUUCCUUCAGUAUCAUGGAAAGAGUAUGGAGCUCAUAGUGUACACUACCAGCUUUGGCACUCUGGAAUUUGGAAACGUCAACCAAAGUAAAUUCUCAGCCAUUAAAACGGUUCCCGAGAGCGGCUCUUUAGAAGUGAAAGACGUGGAUUAUAAUGACAGAGCUGUGUAUUUCUGUGCUGUGAGAGAACACAGUGCUAUAACCACAGGGUAGAGCUGUACAAAAACACACCGUGUGUGUGUGUGUGUGUGUGUGUGUGUGUGUGUGUGUGUGUGUGUGUGUGUGUGUGUGUG